AUUGAACGCUGGCGGAAUGCUUUACACAUGCAAGUCGAACGGCAGCACGGACUUCGGUCUGGUGGCGAGUGGCGAACGGGUGAGUAAUGUAUCGGAACGUGCCCAGUCGUGGGGGAUAACGUAGUGAAAAUUACGCUAAUACCGCAUACGAUCUAUGGAUGAAAGCGGGGGAUCGCAAGACCUCGCGCGAUUGGAGCGGCCGAUAUCAGAUUAGGUAGUUGGUGGGGUAAAGGCCCACCAAGCCAACGAUCUGUAGCUGGUCUGAGAGGACGACCAGCCACACUGGAACUGAGACACGGUCCAGACUCCGACGGGAGGCAGCAGUGGGGGAUUUUGGACAAUGGGCGAAAGCCUGAUCCAGCCAUUCCGUGUGCAGGAUGAAGGCCCUCGGGUUGUAAACUGCUUUUGUACAGAACGAAAAGGUUUCUACUAAUACUAGGAGCUCAUGACGGUACUGUAAGAAUAAGCACCGGCUAACUACGUGCCAGCCGCCGCAGUAA
rnacentral:rRNA from 1 species